GGGCGUAUAGCUCAGCUGGUUAGAGCGCAACACUGAUAAUGUUGAGGUCCCAGGUUCGAUUCCUGGUACGCCCACCA
rnacentral:tRNA from 1 species